GUUGUGAGGUUAAGCGACUAAGCGUACACGGUGGAUGCCCUGGCAGUCAGAGGCGAUGAAGGACGUGCUAAUCUGCGAUAAGCGUCGGUAAGGUGAUAUGAACCGUUAUAACCGGCGAUUUCCGAAUGGGGAAACCCAGUGUGAUUCGUCACACUAUCAUUAACUGAAUCCAUAGGUUAAUGAGGCGAACCGGGGGAACUGAAACAUCUAAGUACCCCGAGGAAAAGAAAUCAACCGAGAUUCCCCCAGUAGCGGCGAGCGAACGGGGAGCAGCCCAGAGCCUGAAUCAGUGUGUGUGUUAGUGGAAGCGUCUGGAAAGGCGUGCGAUACAGGGUGACAGCCCCGUACACAAAAAUGCACAUACUGUGAGCUCGAUGAGUAGGGCGGGACACGUGGUAUCCUGUCUGAAUAUGGGGGGACCAUCCUCCAAGGCUAAAUACUCCUGACUGACCGAUAGUGAACCAGUACCGUGAGGGAAAGGCGAAAAGAACCCCGGCGAGGGGAGUGAAAAAGAACCUGAAACCGUGUACGUACAAGCAGUGGGAGCACGCUUAGGCGUGUGACUGCGUACCUUUUGUAUAAUGGGUCAGCGACUUAUAUUCUGUAGCAAGGUUAACCGAAUAGGGGAGCCGAAGGGAAACCGAGUCUUAACUGGGCGUUAAGUUGCAGGGUAUAGACCCGAAACCCGGUGAUCUAGCCAUGGGCAGGUUGAAGGUUGGGUAACACUAACUGGAGGACCGAACCGACUAAUGUUGAAAAAUUAGCGGAUGACUUGUGGCUGGGGGUGAAAGGCCAAUCAAACCGGGAGAUAGCUGGUUCUCCCCGAAAGCUAUUUAGGUAGCGCCUCGUGAAUUCAUCUCCGGGGGUAGAGCACUGUUUCGGCAAGGGGGUCAUCCCGACUUACCAACCCGAUGCAAACUGCGAAUACCGGAGAAUGUUAUUACGGGAGACACACGGCGGGUGCUAACGUCCGUCGUGAAGAGGGAAACAACCCAGACCGCCAGCUAAGGUCCCAAAGUCAUGGUUAAGUGGGAAACGAUGUGGGAAGGCCCAGACAGCCAGGAUGUUGGCUUAGAAGCAGCCAUCAUUUAAAGAAAGCGUAAUAGCUCACUGGUCGAGUCGGCCUGCGCGGAAGAUGUAACGGGGCUAAACCAUGCACCGAAGCUGCGGCAGCGACGCUUAUGCGUUGUUGGGUAGGGGAGCGUUCUGUAAGCCUGUGAAGGUGUGCUGUGAGGUAUGCUGGAGGUAUCAGAAGUGCGAAUGCUGACAUAAGUAACGAUAAAGCGGGUGAAAAGCCCGCUCGCCGGAAGACCAAGGGUUCCUGUCCAACGUUAAUCGGGGCAGGGUGAGUCGACCCCUAAGGCGAGGCCGAAAGGCGUAGUCGAUGGGAAACAGGUUAAUAUUCCUGUACUUGGUGUUACUGCGAAGGGGGGACGGAGAAGGCUAUGUUGGCCGGGCGACGGUUGUCCCGGUUUAAGCGUGUAGGCUGGUUUUCCAGGCAAAUCCGGAAAAUCAAGGCCGAGGCGUGAUGACGAGGCACUACGGUGCUGAAGCAACAAAUGCCCUGCUUCCAGGAAAAGCCUCUAAGCAUCAGGUAACAUCAAAUCGUACCCCAAACCGACACAGGUGGUCAGGUAGAGAAUACCAAGGCGCUUGAGAGAACUCGGGUGAAGGAACUAGGCAAAAUGGUGCCGUAACUUCGGGAGAAGGCACGCUGAUACGUAGGUGAAGCGACUUGCUCGUGGAGCUGAAAUCAGUCGAAGAUACCAGCUGGCUGCAACUGUUUAUUAAAAACACAGCACUGUGCAAACACGAAAGUGGACGUAUACGGUGUGACGCCUGCCCGGUGCCGGAAGGUUAAUUGAUGGGGUUAGCGCAAGCGAAGCUCUUGAUCGAAGCCCCGGUAAACGGCGGCCGUAACUAUAACGGUCCUAAGGUAGCGAAAUUCCUUGUCGGGUAAGUUCCGACCUGCACGAAUGGCGUAAUGAUGGCCAGGCUGUCUCCACCCGAGACUCAGUGAAAUUGAACUCGCUGUGAAGAUGCAGUGUACCCGCGGCAAGACGGAAAGACCCCGUGAACCUUUACUAUAGCUUGACACUGAACAUUGAGCCUUGAUGUGUAGGAUAGGUGGGAGGCUUUGAAGUGUGGACGCCAGUCUGCAUGGAGCCGACCUUGAAA
rnacentral:rRNA from 1 species